rnacentral:rRNA from 1 species
UGCCUACGGGAGGCAGCAGUGGGGAAUAUUGCACAAUGGGGGAAACCCUGAUGCAGCGACGCCGCGUGAGUGAAGAAGUAUCUCGGUGUGUAAAGCUCUAUCAGCAGGGAAGAAAGAAAUGACGGUACCUGACUAAGAAGCCCCGGCUAACUACGUGCCAGCAGCCGCGGUAAUACGUAGGGGGCAAGCGUUAUCCGGAUUUACUGGGUGUAAAGGGAGCGUAGACGGCUGAGCAAGUCUGAAGUGAAAGGCGGGGGCCCAACCCCCGGACUGCUUUGGAAACUGGAUAGCUAGAGUGCAGGGGG